UCAAGGAAAUGGAAAAUUACCCAGCGCCUGCGUAAUAAUUUACAUUUAGUGCCUUCAGGCGCCAUCAUUGUAAUGGAGAAUGCAGGGACGGCUCCCUACAAUUGCAAAAGUUAUUGAAAGAUGUUCAAUAAGAUGAUUCAUUAAGACUUUAUAAUGAGACAUAUAUAUGUGAGCUUGGCACAGGGAGUGUUUUUUUAUGAGGUUUCGAUCUUUUGUCUGAUUGGCUCUAGCUCCUGUUAUCUGUAAAAAGGGAAUAGUAGUUGAUUCAUGGUGCUAUUGUUGGAAUUCAUUAGAUAAAACUAGCAAUGCCUGAGAAAUAGAAUUAUUAAAACUUUUCUCUUGAUUAUUGGGGAUUAUAAUGUUAAAGAAUCACAUCACUUACAAAAUGCUCAGUCCUGAGACUAUCUAAACAAGGUAACAGUUAACUUCCAUGUCUUUGCUAGAAUAUUAAUCAUGGUAUGGUACUAUAACUAAUUAGCUAUUUAUAUGAGAACAAGAUUUUCAUUCCAAAACUAUUCUGACUAAAAAUGUGGCAUGAUUGAAAUACAGAAAAAUAUCAAAUUUAAUUUUAGCCUAUAUAAAUAUAAAUGUAACAUGCGGAACCAUUUGUGGGGAGUGCCCACCACCAGAUAUAUUAGUCAGUCCAUAGCUUCUGUAUUAUGCUUACAAUGGGGGCCAGAGGAAAUCAUGUCACUGGGAGCCAUUUGAAAGCACAGCUUUAAUCAGAGUCAAAGGCAGGCUUUAGGAAACCCAUGUUUUCUGUCUUGCCAUUUAGAGCUUUUUAUAUCAUAUAUUUAAGGCAAAGAAGUUCUGCUCAAAAAUGUUCCUGAGUGGUGAGGGACAUGGCUCGGUGGGUUAGAAUACUUGUACAAGCAUGAAAACCCAGUGUGAAUCUUCUGCACCUAUGUUGAAAGCUAGACAUGGACACACAGGUGCUCAUAAUCCCAGGACCACGGAACAUAGGCAGGAGGAUGGCUGGGCUUUCUGACUGCCAGUCUACUUAUAGGUUCAUUGAGAGAUGCUGCUACAUGGGAAUAAGGUAGAGAAUGAUAGACUAGGUCACCUGACAUCCUCCUCUGACAUAUACAAAUACACCUACCUUUACACACAGGUGUUUAUCCCACACACACACACACACACACACACACACACACACACGCAUGCACGCAUGCACGCACGCACUCAUACACACACAAACAAACAAACAUAUAUACACAAAGGAUAAAUAGAGCAUACUUACAUUUAAGGAUUUUCAAAUGCUGAAUAGUCUAUUUUGUACCACAGGGAUCUUCAUGACACUGAGACUAACUGAAUCCUGAGGCUGGCAAUCAUUAAUAAUGCCACUAUGGAAGAGUUGAUCCCACUGAUUGGAAGGUUAGUAGAAAACACUGUCCAGCGUGUGGAAGAUUCUUAUUGGAUGAAUAACUCUGUUCACUGCUAGGCUGACCUCGGUUAACAUGUUGGCCUCUCUGAAUCUGGUUUCUCCUCCAUUUGAAAAGAUUCAAUACAAUUUGUUAAUGUAUGUUUCUGGAACAUAUUGCCUCUUGAUGCAGGUCUGUGUUUUCUCUUACCCUAUGUGUUGUGGGCUGUUAUGACAAUUAAAUUAUGACACUGGA